AAAGUAGAGAUAUGAAUCAACUGACACGUCGACACAACCAAGAGGACGCUUAAAGGGAGUGGUUGUAUAUUUCACAAUAUCAACUCAGAUCAGCCACACGUCCGAGAAUCCAAGUUUGGAUUGCUGUUCUAUCUUUCAAGUAUGGCUGUUUGCGGUGACAAGCGCUGUUUUGUCGGUGUUAUCUUUUUAACACUCAUAGGAGUACUAGUGCUGUACCAUAUUCAGGUCGACACAGCAUUUGGGAGCAUCAACAAAAACCAUUGGAUUACAGGGCUCGGAAGACAUGGAAUAAGAAACCCUUGGUUUGUGCAUGGGUCUCAAAAUCUGAAACCGAAGUUCAAGGUCUGUACACUGUCUCUUUCCAUAUUGCGGCUAGCUAGGAAGCAUAUUGAAUGACAUGCCUGCUGUUAAAAGAAGGAUUACGUUUUGUACUGACUAGAAAAUGUGUGUCAAGUUACAGUAAAGCGUAACUUGUGGUUCUACUUGUGGUGGUACAUGUUUAGUGUUCUUCAUGCGUUUCGUGGGCGAACAAACAAUGGGGUGGCGUAAAUAAGACGUUCCAAUUCGCAACUUCGCAUCAUGAAAUAUGUAGCCUAAUAACGUCGACCACUCACUCACUCACUCACUCACUCACUCACUCACUCACUCACUCACUCACUCACUCACUCACUCACUCACUCACUCACACAC